UACGGAGGGGGCUAGCGUUGUUCGGAAUUACUGGGCGUAAAGCGCACGUAGGCGGCUUUGUAAGUUAGAGGUGAAAGCCCGGGGCUCAACCCCGGAACUGCCUUUAAGACUGCAUCGCUUGAAUCCAGGAGAGGUAAGUGGAAUUCCGAGUGUAGAGGUGAAAUUCGUAGAUAUUCGGAAGAACACCAGUGGCGAAGGCGGCUCACUGGCCUGGUAUUGACGCUGAGGUGCGAAAGCGUGGGGAGCAAACAGG
rnacentral:rRNA from 1 species